CCUACGGGAGGCAGCAGUGGGGAAUAUUGCACAAUGGGGGGAACCCUGAUGCAGCGAUGCCGCGUGGAGGAAGAAGGUUUUCGGAUUGUAAACUCCUUUUAUCAGGGACGAUAAUGACGGUACCUGAAGAAAAAGCUCCGGCUAACUACGUGCCAGCAGCCGCGGUAAUACGGAGGGAGCGAGCGUUGUCCGGAAUUACUGGGUGUAAAGGGAGCGUAGGCGGGACGGCAAGUCAGAUGUGAAAACGUAGGGCUUAACCUUCAGACUGCAUUUGAAACUGGUGUUAUAGAGUGAAGUAGAGGUAGGCGGAAUUCUUGGUGUAGCGGUGAAAUGCGUAGAUAUCAGGAGGAAUACCGGUUGCGAAGGCGGCUUGCUGGAACUUUACUGACGCUGAGGCGCGAAAGCGUGGGGAGCAAACAGGAUUAGAUACCCGAGUAGUC
rnacentral:rRNA from 1 species